rnacentral:rRNA from 1 species
UUCCGGUUGAUCCCGCCGGACCCCACUGCUAUCGAGAUGGGACUAAGGUAUGCUAGUCGAACGACCAGAACUAUGUCUGGAAGUGGCACACUGCUCAGUAACACGUAGCUAACCUACCCUUAGGACGUGGAUACCCCCGAGAAAUUGGGGUUAAUCCGCGAUAGGUGUAAUGUCCUGGAAUGGUAUUACGCCUAAAGGUGUAUCAUACAUGUUUGAUAUACGCCUAAGGAUGGGGCUGCGGCCGAUCAGGCUGUUGGUGAGGUAAUGGCUCACCAAACCUUUGACCGGUACGGGCCAUGAGAGUGGUAGCCCGGAGAUGGACACUGAGACAAGGGUCCAGGCCCUAAGGGGCGCAGCAACCGCGAAACCUCCACAAUGCACUCACGUGCGAUGGGGCUAUCUCGAGUGCCACCUGAUGAAGGUGGCUUUUCCUAGGUCUUCAAAGCCUUGGGAAUAAGAGGGGGGCAAGACUGGUGUCAGCCGCCGCGGUAACGCCAGCCCCUCGAGUGGUGGGGAUGAUUAUUUGGCCUAAAGCGUCCGUAGCCGGCCGAGCAAGUCUUCCGUUAAAUCCAGCGUCUCAAGCGUUGGACUGCGGGAGAUACUACACGGCUAGAGAGUGGGAGAGGUCAGCGGUAUUCUGGGGGUAGGGGCGAAAUCCUUUGAUCCCCGGAGGACCACCAGU